rnacentral:rRNA from 1 species
CUUGGUGACAAUAGCGAGAUGGAACCACCUGAUCCCUUCCCGAACUCAGAAGUGAAACGUCUCUGCGCCGAUGGUAGUGUGGGA